rnacentral:ncRNA from 1 species
CUUCGCUCGUGAAGGUGACGCUUAAUAGGGAAUCCGGUGAGAAUCCGGGACUGUACCCGCAGCUGUAAGUUCCUUUAAAAAGGAUUUUGUACUUCAAAUGUCACUGGUGUAACAACCGGGAAGGCAACAAAAUCCGGAACAAGUCAGAAGACCUGCCGAACAAUAUA